rnacentral:rRNA from 1 species
AGAGGACGAAGGACCUGUCAACGGCGGGGGUAACUAUGACCCUCUUAAGGUAGCGUAGUACCUUGCCGCAUCAGUAGCGGCUUGCAUGAAUGGAUUAACCAGAGCUUCACUGUCCCAACGUUGGGCCCGGUGAACUGUACAUUCCAGUGCGGAGUCUGGAGACACCCAGGGGGAAGCGAAGACCCUAUGGAGCUUUACUGCAGGCUGUCGCUGAGACGUGGUCGCCGAUGUGCAGCAUAGGUAGGAGUCGUUACAGAGGUACCCGCGCUAGCGGGCCACCCAGACAACAGUGAAAUACUACCCGUCGGUGACUGCGACUCUCACUCCGGGAGGAAGACACCGAUAGCCGGGCAGUUUGACUGGGGCGGUACGCGCUCGAAAAGAUAUCGAGCGCGCCCUAUGGCUAUCUCAGCCGGGACAGAGACCCGGCGAAGAGUGCAAGAGCAAAAGAUAGCUUGACAGUGUUCUUCCCAACGAGGAACGCUGACGCGAAAGCGUGGUCUAGCGAACCAAUUAGCCUGCUUGAUGCGGGCAAUUGAUGACAGAAAAGCUACCCUAGGGAUAACAGAGUCGUCACUCGCAAGAGCACAUAUCGACCGAGUGGCUUGCUACCUCGAUGUCGGUUCCCUCCAUCCUGCCCGUGCAGAAGCGGGCAAGGGUGAGGUUGUUCGCCUAUUAAAGGAGGUCGUGAGCUGGGUUUAGACCGUCGUGAGACAGGUCGGCUGCUAUCUACUGGGUGUGUAAUGGUGUCUGACAAGAACGACCGUAUAGUACGAGAGGAACUACGGUUGGUGGCCACUGGUGUACCGGUUGUCUGAGAAGGCACGUGCCGGGUAGCCACGCCACACGGGGUAAGAGCUGAACGCAUCUAAGCUCGAAACCCACUUGGAAAAGAGACACCGCCGAGGUCCCGCGUAGAAGACGCGGUCGAUAGACUCGGGGUGUGCGCGUCGAGGUAACGAGACGUUAAGCCCACGAGCACUAACAGACCAAAGCCAUCAUU